GUAACGAGCGCAACCCUUGUCCUUAGUACCAGCACGUUAUGGUGGGCACUCUAAGGAGACUGCCGGUGACAAACCGGAGGAAGGUGGGGAUGACGUCAAGUCAUCAUGGCCCUUACGGCCUGGGCUACACACGUGCUACAAUGGUCGGUACAAAGGGUUGCCAAGCCGCGAGGUGGAGCUAAUCCCAUAAAACCGAUCGUAGUCCGGAUCGCAGUCUGCAACUCGACUGCGUGAAGUCGGAAUCGCUAGUAAUCGUGAAUCAGAAUGUCACGGUGAAUACGUUCCCGGGCCUU
rnacentral:rRNA from 1 species